CAGCACUCCAGAUGUUUUGGACUACACCCCCCUUGAUGCUUUGCCAGCAUUAUAGUUGUAAGAGCAUUAAGGGGGAUGUAGUCCAAUACAUCUGGAGUGCCA
rnacentral:miRNA from 1 species